CCCCGUGGAUGUCAGCGCCCUCCUGCCUGCAGGACUGAGGGAUCCACUCCAAUCUCUCCUCUGGCAGAGGAGGAUCCCUCAUUCCCAGAGACCCCGAGGCAGGAGCGCUGAGUUUCCUGGGAAGCCGUGUGUUCCUAAGGAUCUGUCCCGGCCUGGAAUCCCCCAUGGAUUUAGGAAGCACCCAGGCGCCGGGAAUUGAAUCCAGCGCCGGGAGCGAGGCGGCUGAGAGGAGCAGCUGAGGGGACAUCAGCAUCUUCCUCAGGUAAAGGCGCCUGCACACGGGACUCACCUUGCUCAGCAGCUCCGGGAGCUCAGACCGUGCAUUCC
rnacentral:lncRNA from 1 species